UACGGAGGAUCCGAGCGUUAUCCGGAUUUAUUGGGUUUAAAGGGUGCGUAGGCGGUCAGGUAAGUUAGAGGUGAAAGCUCGAUGCUCAACAUCGAAACUGCCUCUGAUACUGUCUGACUAGAGUGUAGUUGCGGAAGGCGGAAUGUGUGGUGUAGCGGUGAAAUGCUUAGAUAUCACACAGAACACCGAUUGCGAAGGCAGCUUUCCAAGCUAUUACUGACGCUGAGGCACGAAAGCGUGGGGAGCGAACA
rnacentral:rRNA from 1 species